UACGUAGGGGGCAAGCGUUGUCCGGAAUCAUUGGGCGUAAAGCGCGUGUAGGCGGCUACAUAAGUCGGAUGUGAAAGCCCCGGGCUCAACCCGGGAAGUGCACUCGAUACUGCGUAGCUUGAGUCUCGGAGAGGUUGGUGGAAUUCUCGGUGUAGAGGUGAAAUUCGUAGAUAUUGGGAAGAACACCGGUGGCGAAGGCGGCCAACUGGACCACAACUGACGCUGAGGCGCGAAAGCGUGGGGAGCAAACAGG
rnacentral:rRNA from 1 species